UAGAGUUUGAUCCUGGCUCAGAACGAACGCUGGCGGCAGGCUUAACACAUGCAAGUCGAGCGCCCCGCAAGGGGAGCGGCAGACGGGUGAGUAACGCGUGGGAAUCUACCUUUUGCUACGGAAUAACUCAGGGAAACUUGUGCUAAUACCGUAUGUGCCCUUCGGGGGAAAGAUUUAUCGGCAAAGGAUGAGCCCGCGUUGGAUUAGCUAGUUGGUGGGGUAAAGGCCCACCAAGGCGACGAUCCAUAGCUGGUUGAGAGGAUGAUCAGCCACACUGGGACUGAGACACGGCCCAGACUCCUACGGGAGGCAGCAGUGGGGAAUAUUGGACAAUGGGCGCAAGCCUGAUCCAGCCAUGCCGCGUGAGUGAUGAAGGCCCUAGGGUUGUAAAGCUCUUUCACCGGUGAAGAUAAUGACGGUAACCGGAGAAGAAGCCCCGGCUAACUUCGUGCCAGCAGCCGCGGUAA
rnacentral:rRNA from 1 species